CAUCAUAUUUCUUAGAUUAAAGUUAGAAUAUGUUACUAAGUUUUAAUUUGUAUUGAAAAGAUUAACAAUGUCUUAUAUUAGUAACUUUAAAUUUUGUUUAUAAUAUAUUAGUAAAUUCUUAAGAAACAUAAUAUAACGAAUUGUUUUGUAGCAUGAUUAAAAAGACUCAUUAUAUAUGUUUUAAAAUCCAAAAAACUAAAUUUGUAAUUUAUAGUCUAUAUUCAAGUUCUCAAAUUAUUAUUUAAAUAUUUCUAACACAAUUUAACAAAAAAAUAUAAUUUUGACACAUACAUGUUCAAGUGGUUAAUGCAUAGUAUAUGUAAGUUAUAAAUUGUGUAAACGAUAGCACGUAGAUUAAAUAGAAUAAGAUAUAGAUGCUUUUUACAUAUUCAGACUAAGAACUUAUUUGUCUGGUUGAAUUAUGGUCUCAUUCACGUAGUAUACAUUACAAAAGGAAAGGAAUUUGAGAAGAGAAGUGAUUCAAAAAGAAGAAAAAAGGAAAAUGAAAAGAACAAAAGAAAAAAGAAAAAGUAUAGAUAGGAAGUAUUUGAAUAGGAACCCAGUGGUCGCCCACAGAAAAACGUAGGAGUAAACGCCAAGGCCAUGCAAAUUGUGUAACAGUGAAAGCAACCCUACAAAAUGGACCAUCGCUCCCAUUCUCAAAGCUUAAAAAUUAGAUGAAGAAUAAGUCAAGCCGCCGGUCCCACUCCAUCAACCCCUCCUCCUAAUUCCAACACUAAUUCACCAAAUUAUAUUUUCAAUUUAAUUAUUUCUUUCUCUUUCUAGCUAAUUACUUUUUAUAUUACACCAAUUAUUAACAUCAUUUUGAGAUUUGAGUAACUUUAAUUAUAUAAAUUUAUUUACAUAUCUAACUAGUAACACUGUUGGUGUAUGUAAGAUUAAUUUAACUAUAUAUGUGUUUAUUAUCAGCUUAAGCAACCCUGAUGAACAAAAAUAUCUCACAUCUUUAAUGUCAGAUAUACACACAUAUAUGUAUAUAUUGAAAAGGUAAAAUCCUUGGUGGAAGGUUAUAUAAAAUUAGUCCAAACAUGAUGACAACACAUAAUAUUAUUUUAACUAUCUUGUCAUCUACCGACAAUAAUAUGUGUGCAUGUCUAUAUGAUUUCAUGGUUUUUAAUUAAAAAAAAAUUAGGUGGAGUAAUUAAAUUAGAUUUCACCGGUGAUCAUUAUGUUAAGACUUGAGAGGGGGGUUUGAGUGAGUGAAGUGGGUAAAAGGACAAAGCUAUAUAAAGGGAGGAAAGGCAGUGUUAAAAACCCACCAAUCCAUUCAAGGAUGGGAAAAAUGGGAUCUUCAAUGGCUCCUAUUCUUUUUGCUGCCUUUGUUGCUCUCCUUUCCCUAACUCUGCCGUCCACUACCAAUGCUAAUUAUAUCUACGCUUCUCCUCCUCCACCUAAGAAGGUAUAUUACCCGCCUCCAGUAUACCAUUCUCCUCCACCACCCAAGAAAUCAUACUAUCCACUCCAGUGUAUCACUCUCCACCACCACCCAAGAAGGUUUACUAUCCACCACCAGUUUACUCUCCACCACCACCAAAGAAGGUGUAUUACCCACCUCCUGUCUACAAGUCUCCUCCGCCACCCAAGAAGGUUUAUUACCCACCUCCCGUCUACAAGUCUCCUCCGCCACCUAAGAAGGUGUACCCACCUCCCGUCUACAAGUCUCCCCCGCCCCAAGAAGGUGUACUACCCACCUCCCGUCUACAAGUCUCCCCCACCUCCCAAGAAGGUGUACUACCCACCUCCGUCUACAAGUCUCCCCCACCUCCCAAGAAGGUAUACUACCUCCUCCCGUCUAUAAGUCUCCUCCACCACCAAAGAAGGUAUACUACCCACCUCCAGUCUACAAGUCUCCCCCACCUCCCAAGAAGGUAUACUAUCCACCACGUCUAUAAGUCUCCUCCACCACCAAAGAAAGUAUACUACCCACCACCAGUCUACUCACCACCACCGCCAAAGAAGGUAUACUACCCACCUCCCGUCUACUCACCACCACCACCGAAGAAGGUGUACUACCCACCUCCCGUCUACUCACCACCACCACCGAAGAAGGUGUACUACCCACCUCCCGUCUACUCACCACCACCACCGAAGAAGUAUACUACCCACCCCCGUCUACUCACCACCACCACCGAAGAAGGUAUACUACCCACCACCCGUCUACUCUCCACCACCACCGAAGAAGGUAUACUACCCACCACCCGUCUACUCUCCACCACCACCGAAGAAGGUAUACUACCACCACCCGUCUACUCUCCACCACCACCGAAGAAGGUAUACUACCCUCCUCCCGUCUACUCUCCACCACCACCAAAGAAAGUAUACUAUCCACCUCCCGUCUACUCUCCACCACCACCAGUAUACCACUCCCCCACCUCCGGUCUAUCAUUCUCCACCACCACCAGUAUACCAUUCCCCACCACCUCCCGUUUAUUACUACUCAUCGCCACCGCCACCUCCACACUACUAGGAAUUAAAUGUCCUAGGUCAAGGUAAUUUUAAAUCUCCCACCAAAUUGCGUUGUCUUUUCUCCACGUAUAUAACAGUAAACAUAACUAAUAAUAUAUGUUACUUUCAAAGGACAGAGAAAUGUGGAUGAAAAUGAAAACAAACAAAUAAUAAUUCUGUGGAUUUUUAACAUCAUAAAAAUUUGGUUGGCCGUCACUAAAAUUUGGACUACUGUUUAUGAUUUAUAUCCAAAAUUCAGUGGUAGGGACCCCAAUAGAUAGAGAAAAUUCAAAAAUAAAAAACAAAAACUUGGGUCCAAAUAAUUAAUUUUGGUUAAUUUGUUGUGUUGUGCAGGGAUCUGAAGAUGAGAAUAUAUAUAUGUGGAAGUCAAAAUAAGAG
rnacentral:lncRNA from 1 species